CCUACGGGUGGCAGCAGUGAGGAAUAUUGGUCAAUGGGCUCGAGCCUGAACCAGCCAAGUCGCGUGAGGGAAGACGGCCCUACGGGUUGUAAACCUCUUUUGCCGGGGAGCAACGGGCGCCACGUGUGGCCCCACUGAGAGUACCUGGAGAAAAAGCAUCGGCUAACUCCGUGCCAGCAGCCGCGGUAAUACGGAGGAUGCGAGCGUUAUCCGGAUUUAUUGGGUUUAAAGGGAGCGUAGAUGGGUUGUUAAGUCAGUUGUGAAAUGUUGCGGCUCAACCGUACAAUUGCAAUUGAUACUGGCGGCCUUGAGUAGAGGUGAGGUAGGCGGAAUGCGUGGUGUAGCGGUGAAA
rnacentral:rRNA from 1 species